UGAGAAGGGCGUCUGGUGGAUGCCUUGGCGCAUGGAGGCGAUGAAGGACGUGCUAGGCUGCGAGAAGCCCGGAGGAGCCGCCAAGAGGCUUUGAUCCCGGGAUGUCCGAAUGGGGAAACCCCCCGCUUUUGCGGGAUCCGGCCCUGAAUCCAUAGGGGUCGGAGGCGAACCC
rnacentral:rRNA from 1 species